AAAAGUCGGUGUGGCAAAACAAAAACUAGAGGAAAGACAGUAAAGAUAAACAGCAUACGAUAUUUUUUGAUUGAUUUGAAGCAAGUAUGAAACUAGUAUGAUUAGCUAUUAUAUUUGAAAAGCCAUGCUUUCUUGAAUUUAGUAUUUGUUUUAUUUUUGGAUAGCUUAUUUAUUUAUUUCAAUUUAUUUUAAAUUUUUUUUUUCCUUUGAAUUUAUUAUUUCAUUCAGUUUAAUUUAUCUUCUUGUCAAACCAAUCGACAAUGUUGAAUCAUUCCAGCCAGUUUUAACUCGUAUCUUUUCAAUCCAUUGCAAAUGUCUCAAUUUCUAAUCGUUUCCAUCUCUAUCAUGUUAUAAAAAUUUUGUUGUCUUGUUGACCUCGUACGUACUCAUACUCAUUUUUUCGUACGUAUUCUCUCUCCUCGUACGCAGAUUCUGUUCGUACGCUCAUUCAUUAUUCAUUUCACCAAUUUUGCCUCUUAACUGUCUGCUCUUACUACUACUGCCUCAUGUUUUCUCUCUUCCUCUCUUCACUCUCUUUGGUUUGCUUCGGCACUUAGUACCACACUCGACUUGAAUCUUCGCCUCCCCCCACCUUGGCCUGUCUAAAUUUUCGUGGUCUUCAAUUAAGUCUUACUAGUGUUGCAAACCUAUGUCCCGCUUUACUGCACCCCACAUGCAUGCUGGUAGAGUGGAAAUCGCGUUGUAGGUGCCAGGUGGUAACUUUAUUUAUCAUGUUGGAAAUUUUGUACGAUUCAGAAAUGUAGCAUUUUGUUAUGAAUUUAAAACACCUAGUUCUGUGUGUCAAAGUACAGUGCUAAACGAUGGAUGCUAGGACAGCACUAACAUAAUAUGCCUCGACCUACCUACCUACUUACUAACAAGUUCUAUGUGGCCUACAAUUAUUAGUUGGAGAAACUUUUCAUUACUGUUUUGUUUGUUCUCAUAGACGUUGCUUAGUCGGCCGCGUUUAUGUUUUUUUCGGUGUUUUUGUUUAACAUCAUUUCCUUCUCGAUGCUAGCUGCUUGCUCACCAUUGUUUACUUUGUGUACUCUUUUUUUUUUCUUUUGUUGUCUGUGACCUCACUGAGCAAGCAUACUUUGUCAGCUCGAAAAUUUCACCAUGUUUUCUUGCUACAAAUUUUUUCUGCUAGGGUAGGGUAUAGGCUAUUGAAACUGAUAGUUGAAUAACAAAUGUCCUAGACCAAAAGGAAAAACUUGUAACGCUUUACCAAUCAUCCCGCCAAUCAAAACAUUGUCGAUCCAAUCUUGGCACAUGAACUUUAGCUAACCUGGUGUUUGUGUUUUUUUCAACAAGUCGUCUUUACACAUCAACUACCUUUUCUCAUUGUGUUCUUUUAUCAUGUUCAUAUCUCACAAUAUCCAACACUGACAAUCGACAAACAAUCAUCAAACACAAAUAAUCCAGUAUAUGUUAGCGCCAUUCUAGUUUUUCUUCCAAGUUUUGGGAAUAUUUUUCAUUUGCCUCGACACUACUUUGGCUCGACAUUGUUUUGUCUCGAUAUCUUAAAAUCGGCCGUAACUCCUGUUAUAGCACUUUUUCAUUUUUCCUGGUCCAGCUUGAAAAUUUUCCUGCUUCCAGCUUCAAACUUUCAAAUCGGAUUUUCUUUUUUUAAACACAAGCUACAUCCCUUUUCUCCACAUACCGGUCCUAUUUUCCCUGUGUUAAUGUGCGAAAUUACUGGUAUACUGAAUCGCAUUGCGUUGCGUAGCUUUGGCUUCGCAUGGCAGAUAUGCAAUGCAGCCUAUCUUCAACUACGUUUUGCCAUCUCACUUAGCCUAGCCACCAGCGCACCGUAGGUUAGGGUAAGGUAAACUAGGCUAAUCAAAAAGCAUGAAUGCCGACUACUCUGCCAUCGCUAUCGCUAUAGCUAUACGGUAUUUGUAUGCGAGUUAUAGUGGGGUUAGGCAAACUGAAAAUCCAAACAAUCCCUAUCCUCUUCUAGCGCGCACAUUCUCAAUUUUUUUUUUCUUUCAAAAAUACCUACUAGCAUUCCGUAAGAAAUGCAUUUUAUCCAUCGACACAAUUAAGGUUGCUUACUGAACUAUCCGUAUCGACUCCGUUUUUAUGAAGCAGCUGUUAAUUAAUUAAUUAUUUAUUUAUUUAAUUAAAAAACGUAAAUGUCGCAUUCAUAUCAACAAAGCCUAUUUGCUUUCUGUUGUCAUCAUCAUUUUGUGGGUCUCCCUUCCAAUCUUUCCUUAGGUUUCUCGUUAAAUUAGUUUUUAAAUAUUUUUCGAGAAAAUACGCGUUCUUGCGUAAUAGGAUUCGGCAUUUUCAUUUCUUUUGGGUGAUUUAUUUUGUUUUGUUUGUAUUGGCAUUUCUUCAUAAAGACAUGAUAAAAAACAUUCUCUGGAUUUUACACCAACUUCAUAUUCUUACGAAUACAUUUACAUUCUUUCCAAAUCGCAAUUGUUCCUCCUAAUUCUUAAAUUCGCCUUUUUCUUCUUUUACACAGCGACCUUGCAAGUAUUUAGUACAAACUUAACUGUCUUCACAUCACAACGGGCUUCCGGUACUUCACCCUACACUUAAUUCCAAUACUCCAUGUCCGGCCCGAUGAGGCCCGGUAAUUGUUUUAACGUUUUCAAAUGGUCAUUUCGAUAUCGUAUUUUAUCCGGUGCUGUAUACUCAAAUACCGAAGCAUGAUUGCCGUUCUUCGAUCGCCUAUUUAUCUUUAAUAUCUAGUUCAUCUGACAAGACAUUACCAUCGAUUGUGUUUGCAUUGCGUAUGUAAUAGUAGUAAUGUUUUUAAAUGGUUGUUGGCAAAAAUAUCAAGGUACGGGAAUCUGGCGUUUUUUAGUAUAGUUAGCUCGCCCGAUUGACCCUCUUGUAUUACUUAUAUCAGUCCAUCUGUGCCUAUUUACGAUGAAACAUAGCAUGCAGAAAUGCAAAGUUACUUUCUUGAACUAAUUUUAUUAAUUCUUUAUGUAUCCUGAGAGCAAAUUAUAAAGCAGUAGUUUUUUUAGGUGAUUUUUUUUUAACAACCAAAUUAUACAUGAUCAAAGUUCUUGAAUCUUUUGUUUUAAUACAAUAAAGCAAUCCUUUCAUAUUCUUACAACGUCUCUUUCUUUUAAUCAACAUUAGGCUCAAUAAUACGUACGAGUAACUCUUAUAUUAUAUGGUAUAACCAUAUGAAGUGACAUGUUUACUGAACAAUCUUUGCUUAGCAUAUUGGGAAAUCUCAUAUACGCUUUACUAGGAUAUUUUAUAUUACUAUAACUCCUUAUUGAGAUGCAUAACUUAUUAUAUUACGAUUUGUUUUUCCUAUGUACACUCUUAAAUCUAGGUGCUUGCAUGCCAGCCACCAAAGCGAUUUCUUGAGGCCCGCCAUGUAAAUCGGUUUGAAAAAAAAAAAAAAAUGCUACACGGUCCAGUUUGUACAAUGGUGAUCAGUUCACCAGCCAUCAGUUCGAUUUUCAGCGCCUUAAUUC
rnacentral:lncRNA from 1 species